CCUUGGGGCAGGAGGACUCUUGAAGAUGUUCAGAUUCCUCCCUCUUUAUACAGAUGGGCAAACUGAGGCCAAGCAAGAGGACUUGCCAAAGUAUCCCUGCAGAGCACCGCCUGGUGGUCGCACCGCUUGGACAUCCACAGUGCGGGUCUGCUCGCCGACCACCCACUCACAGGAGAAACCUCCAAAAGGACCAGAGCCAGAGGGGGCAUGCAGGCCGCGGCUCCCGCCCCUUGGCCGCCCACCUGCUUUCCGCGGCCCGACCUCCCCUCUGCCGAAGCGACUUGGUAUGUUACAGAGGACGAGGAAGCGUCCGGAAGAACCUCCUGGCGUUUAGUGGAGCCACAGAAUACGAGGGCAUUGACAAGCAUCAGAACACCAAGCAGCCUUAGAUUUCACGAUCACUCCAAAUGGGACAUAGAAAUACGGAAAUACAGCCAGUUUCCACUGGGAACAGUUCUUCGUGUACAAAUGAUAU
ensembl:lncRNA